UGGGAAAUAAAAACCCUGACCUACUGGCUACAGCCUUUUCACUCCUGUUGUUCAUCUGUGGAUGCAGAAGAUGCCCUGUGUGUGUGAGUAAAGCUUUGUACUAACUGAACCAGCCUGGGAGAGGGCUCUGCCCUGCACACCCGGACUUCUUUGGGAAAGGCAAAAUACCCUUUCUGGGCUUGGGGAUGGGGUCUGAGAACUUCAGAGCAAGACCCAAAGGCAGAAGCAGACAAGCAGAGAUAAACAGCAGGGUGCUGUGAAACAGACAUGCAUUCAGAAACAUACCACAGACGUAGAAGAAAAAACACACACGACUGAAAGCACUAAUAAUCACUGACAUUCAGUGAGCGCUUUCUUGGUGCCAGGCACCAUUCUUAAGUGAGCAAAGCACAGAAAGUUUAAGGAACUUGCCUGUGAUCAGACAGCUCAUUUGGGGAGCUGAAAAGUAUCACUUUAACUAGGGAAUUUAACUAAGUUGAAUUAAAUUUGUAACGCCUGUAAGUUAAGAAUGGAGAACAGAGGCUGUAACAGCCGUGGCAGAUAAAGGAGCUUGGGAUCUAGCAGGCUGUGGGGAGCCAUCGAAGGCUUUUGAGGGUGGAAGUGAUACAGUCACAAGAGAGCAUUAAAUGAUCCCUCUGGCAAGGCUGCCUCCCAUGCUUUGGAGUGGGAGGGGUUGAGUGAGAGAGUGCUUCUCUCUGGUAGAGAGAUUUGUAGGUUGGGAAGGAAACUCAGGUGGGCUGAGUCCCAUGGGUCUAAGACUACUCCUACUCAAAGAAGCAUCAAACCCAUCACUUUGCAUAUGAUGAGCCAGUUAUCAGUCUUGUGGUUCUACCCUUUCACCUGCUACAGGACUCUUUCUUGUCCCCAAGGCUUGUCAUGAGCCCUCACAUGCCCUCAACUGGAAAGGUGGACAUGGAAUGUCAGCCAGAAGAACGCAAGAUACUGUUGAUAGUAUCACACUGGACUUGAGAUGUUUUCAACUUACUGGGUCCACUUCUCAGGUUACUGAGAGGGGGAAAAUAUGUUUCCCACCCACAUGCCUGGUCUCAUCAGUGUGUAGUCACUUCCGGAAUACCAAGUCAAGAAGUGUGAGCAGGUCCUCUGCUCCAGCAUGCUGGCAGCACUCUAUGGGCUAAGCAAGCCUUUUGAGGCUGGAGGGGAGGGAAGUGGUAGCACUCAUGCCAAGUAUUUUCCAUUAUUAGGCCCCUGAAAUAAACCAAGGGUGCUCUCUGCCUCUUUGGAGGGUUUUUGUUUUUUUGUUUUGUUUUGUUUUUUCCCCAUCCCUAAGGCUACAGCUUUUUUGGGCUCUGUCAUGGAGCUAAAGUGUACAACCAACUCAAUUCCCCAGAACUCAGCAUGUUUUUGUUUUUGUUGCUGUUGUUGUUUUUUAGGGCUACAUCUCUGCAGCUCUGAUUCAACCCCUAGCCUGGGAACUUUUGUAUGCCGCAGGUGCAGCCCUAAACACUACAAAAAGAAAAAAA
rnacentral:lncRNA from 9 species